rnacentral:rRNA from 1 species
CUGGAGGUAUCAGAAGUGCGAAUGCUGACAUAAGUAACGAUAAAGCGGGUGAAAAGCCCGCUCGCCGGAAGACCAAGGGUUCCUGUCCAACGUUAAUCGGGGCAGGGUGAGUCGACCCCUAAGGCGAGGCCGAAAGGCGUAGUCGAUGGGAAACGGGUUAAUAUUCCCGUACUUGGUGUUACUGCGAAGGGGGGACGGAGAAGGCUAUGUUGGCCGGGCGACGGUUGUCCCGGUUUAAGCGUGUAGGUGUGUGUUCCAGGUAAAUCCGGUUCACUUUAACACUGAGGCGUGACGACGAGGCACUACGGUGCUGAAGCAACAAAUGCCCUGCUUCCAGGAAAAGCCUCUAAGCAUCAGGUAACAUCAAAUCGUACCCCAAACCGACACAGGUGGUCAGGUAGAGAAUACCAAGGCGCUUGAGAGAACUCGGGUGAAGGAACUAGGCAAAAUGGUGCCGUAACUUCGGGAGAAGGCACGCUGACACGUAGGUGAAGUGAUUUACUCACGGAGCUGAAGUCAGUCGAAGAUACCAGCUGGCUGCAACUGUUUAUUAAAAACACAGCACUGUGCAAACACGAAAGUGGACGUAUACGGUGUGACGCCUGCCCGGUGCCGGAAGGUUAAUUGAUGGGGUCAGCGCAAGCGAAGCUCCUGAUCGAAGCCCCGGUAAACGGCGGCCGUAACUAUAACGGUCCUAAGGUAGCGAAAUUCCUUGUCGGGUAAGUUCCGACCUGCACGAAUGGCGUAAUGAUGGCCAGGCUGUCUCCACCCGAGACUCAGUGAAAUUGAACUCGCUGUGAAGAUGCAGUGUACCCGCGGCAAGACGGAAAGACCCCGUGAACCUUUACUAUAGCUUGACACUGAACAUUGAGCCUUGAUGUGUAGGAUAGGUGGGAGGCUUUGAAGUGUGGACGCCAGUCUGCAUGGAGCCGACCUUGAAAUACCACCCUUUAAUGUUUGAUGUUCUAACGUGGACCCGUAAUCCGGGUUGCGGACAGUGUCUGGUGGGUAGUUUGACUGGGGCGGUCUCCUCCUAAAGAGUAACGGAGGAGCACGAAGGUUGGCUAAUCCUGGUCGGACAUCAGGAGGUUAGUGCAAUGGCAUAAGCCAGCUUGACUGCGAGCGUGACGGCGCGAGCAGGUGCGAAAGCAGGUCAUAGUGAUCCGGUGGUUCUGAAUGGAAGGGCCAUCGCUCAACGGAUAAAAGGUACUCCGGGGAUAACAGGCUGAUACCGCCCAAGAGUUCAUAUCGACGGCGGUGUUUGGCACCUCGAUGUCGGCUCAUCACAUCCUGGGGCUGAAGUAGGUCCCAAGGGUAUGGCUGUUCGCCAUUUAAAGUGGUACGCGAGCUGGGUUUAGAACGUCGUGAGACAGUUCGGUCCCUAUCUGCCGUGGGCGCUGGAGAACUGAGGGGGGCUGCUCCUAGUACGAGAGGACCGGAGUGGACGCAUCACUGGUGUUCGGGUUGUCAUGCCAAUGGCACUGCCCGGUAGCUAAAUGCGGAAGAGAUAAGUGCUGAAAGCAUCUAAGCACGAAACUUGCCCCGAGAUGAGUUCUCCCUGAGACUUAGAGUCUCCUGAAGGAACGUUGAAGACGACGACGUUGAUAGGCCGGGUGUGUAAGCGCAGCGAUGCGUUGAGCUAACCGGUACUAAUGAACCGUGAGGCUUAACCUUACA